rnacentral:misc_RNA from 1 species
AACGCAAGUUGCGCCCGAAGCCAUUCGGCCGAGGGCACGUCUGCCUGGGUGUCACGCAUCGUUGCCCCCCCAAACUCCGGUUCGGGCGGGGCGGAAGUUGGCCUCCCGUGCGUGCCUGCGCGCGCGGUUAGCCCAAAAGCGAGUCCUCGGCGACGAGCGCCACGACAAUCGGUGGUUUUUUUACCCUCGUUCCUCGUCGUGCGUGCCCCGUCGCCCGAACGCGCUCUUGCGACCCUUACGCGUCGCCUCGGCGGCGCUCCCAACGCGACCCCAGGUCAGGCGGGACUACCCGCUGAGUUUAA